rnacentral:rRNA from 1 species
AUGACCGGUAUAGGGAUUACUAAGGGGACUAAAGAAACAAGAACAACAACGACUAAUUCAUCCGCCAAUAUAUUCCCGAAAAGUCGAAAGCUUUAA